CCUUACCCUCCUCCAAAAAGAGAGCACUUUUCUCCUGCACUGAGUAUUUUCAUUAGGAAAAGAGGCAAAGUGCAGAGUGAAAAAGGAAGAGAGACAACACUGAGCUACCUACUACGGCCACAAAGAUUUUUGCGGGUGGCCUGUGUGUCUACUCAGAGUCAUGGCAUACCAGUCUAUCUAUCUUGCUGUCUUGCUCCUUCUGAUUGGUCACAUGUUUGCAGUGCAUGAGAUUGAUCCUGCAAACCGAAACAAUCAUGUAACUCCCUGUCAGGACCACAGCAAGCUUAAUGACAGACUGGAUGCAGUGGAAAAGCGGGUUGAGGAGACAGUACAAAAGCUGGAGGUUGAGCUGGCUGAACUGCUUAAUACCAUCCAGGCUUCUGAAUGGAGCUCUGUACUGAGCUCUGACACUGCUGCAGCUGCAGUAGACAUACUGGAUGAAAGCAAUGUCCCACCACACUCUUGAGCUCAAGCAAGGCAGAGAAAGAAAGCUCACACAGUCAGCUUGCCUGAUACUUGUGUACUGCUGCUCCGAACCACACAGACCAGACUGGUUGUGAUCGGGUGGGAAGAUUCAGUACUUCGGCCUCCAGAUUCAGCUACACCAGUGUACAGACUUCUUUCAAAACCAAUCUAGAAUCCAAGGACAUUCCCUUUCUUUCAAUCCUCUUACUUCUCAUCUUGCCAGCUUUUCUGUUUCCUUAAUAGAAUUUUAAAGUGACCUUGAGCAUGAGGAGGUUGCUCUAUGAAUGAAAAUUAUUAUAACAUACAAAGAAUGUACUAACAAUUCUCUCUGAAGAAAAAAAAAUUCUAGGAAAACCAAAAACACCCACUUUAGUUUCAGUUCAACCAGAAUUCUACAUUUUCACGUUGAUUCCUUAUGAACAGACAGAGCCAGUGCCCUUAAAUAUUUUAUUAUUAUUUUUCAAUAUCAUUAAAACAAACUAUGGGAUGCCAAAAUUUAAACAGAGUCUAUUGAUACAUAUCAUGCCAUCCACAAUUAUUUGAAGAUGAUGCUUUGCUUUGUAGAGUAGAAGAGUUGAUAACGCAGUCCUAGAGUAUGAAAAUUGGAUGGCGAUACAGAGCACUGAUGUCGUUGGUGAACAUGUCAUCAUUGUCAUAAUCUCAGUGAGUAAGAGUUUUCAUUUCACUGGUGAGUUUGUAUGGCAAAGCGAAAUAGCUACAACCGUAUGCCUUCCCCAAAACACCCCAUUCUAGUCAUUGUAAAUAGGGGUACAUGCAAAAAACUCAAUGUUUAUUUAAUAUGUUAUGGUAUCAGUAUAGUAAUCAAUAGCUUACAGUGAAUUAAUGUCCACUUGAGGCUAACAAUAGAAUUUAUGUUUAAUUCCAGAAACAUUCCAUGAUUGUUACUUACCACAAUAAAUGCUUCUUUACAAAUUA